rnacentral:misc_RNA from 1 species
GGUUCGAUCUGGCUCAGAUUGAACGCUGGCGGGAUGCUUUACAUGCAGUCGGGCAGCACGGACUUCGGUCUGGUGGCGAGUGGCGAACGGGUGAGUAAUGUAUCGGAACGUGCCUAGUAGCGGGGGAUAACGCGCGAAAGCGUAGCUAAUACCGCAUACGCCCUUCGGGGGAAAGCGGGGGACCUUCGGGCCUCGCACUAUUAGAGCGGCCGAUAUCGGAUUAGCUAGUUGGUGGGGUAACGGCUCACCAAGGCGACGAUCCGUAGCUGGUUUGAGAGGACGACCAGCCACACUGGGACUGAGACACGGCCAGACUCCACGGGAGGCAGCAGUGGGGAAUUUUGGACAAUGGGAAACACAGUCCAGCCAUCCCGCGUGUGCGAUGAAGGCCUUCGGGUUGUAAGCACUUUUGGCAGGAAAGAAACGGCACGGGAUAUUACCCCGUGCAACUGACGGUACCUGCAGAAUGGCACCGGCUAACUACGUGCCAGCAGCCGCGGUAAUACGUAGGGUGCAAGCGUUAAUCGGAAUUACUGGGCGUAAAGCGUGCGCAGGCGGUUCGGAAAGAAAGAUGUGAAAUCCCAGAGCUUAACUUUGGAACUGCAUUUUUAACUACCGAGCUAGAGUGUGUCAGAGGAGGUGGAAUUCCCGCGUGUAGCAGUGAAAUGCGUAGAUAUGCGGAGGAACACCGAUGGCGAAGGCAGCCUCCUGGGAUAACACUUGCUGACGCUCAUGCACGAAAGCGUGGGGAGCAAACAGGAUUAGAUACCCUGGUAGUCCACGCCCUAAACAGUGUCAACUAGCUGUUGGGGCCUUCGGGCCUUGGUAGCGCAGCUAACGCGUGAAGUUGACCGCCAUAGAGGAAAUACGGUCGCAAGAUUAAAACUCAAAGGAAUUGACGGGGACCCGCACAAGCGGUGGAUGAUGUGGAUUAAUUCGAUGCAACGCGAAAAACCUUACCUACCCUUGACAUGUCUGGAAUCCCGAAGAGAUUUGGGAGUGCUCGCAAGAGAACCGGAACACAAGGUGCUGCAUGGCUGUCGUCAGCUCGUGUCGUGAGAUGUUGGGUUAAGUCCCGCAACGAGCGCAGCCCUUGUCAUUAGUUGCUACGAAAGGGCACUCUAAUGAGACUGCCGGUGACAAACCGGAGGAAGGUGGGGAUGACGUCGAAGUCCUCAUGGCCCUUAUGGGUAGGGCUUCACACGUCAUCCCACCUUCCUCCGGUUUGUCACCGGCAGUCUCAUUAGGUGCCCUUUCGUAGCCAACUAAUGACAGGGUUGCGCUCGUUGCGGGGACGCAACUAACAUCUCACGACACGACUGACGACAACCAUGCAGCACCUGUGUUCAGGUUCUCUUGCGAGCACUCCCAAAUCUCUUCAGUUGAACAUGUCAAGGGUAGGUAAGGUUUUUCGCGUUGCGUGAAUUAAUCCACAUGCAUCCACCGCUUGUGCGGGUCCCCGUCAAUUCCUUUGAGUUUUAAUCUUGCAUCCGUACUCCCCAGGCGGUCAACUUCACGCGUUAGCUGCGCUACCAAGGCCCGAAGGCCCCAACAGCUAGUUGACAUCGUUUAGGGCGUGGACUACCAGGGUAUCUAAUCUGUUUGCUCCCCACGCUUUCGUGCAUGAGCGUCAGUGUUAUCCCGGGGCUCUUCGCCAUCGGUGUUCCUCCGCAUAUCUACGCAUUUCACUGCUACACGCGGAAUUCCACCUCCCUCUGACACACUCUAGCUCGGUAGUUAAAAAUGCAGUUCAAAGUUAAGCUCUAGGAUUUCACAUCUUUCUUUCCGAACCGCCUGCGCACGCUUUACGCCCAAUCUAAUUCCGAUUAACGCUUGCACCCUACGUAUUACCGCGGCUGCUGGCGCGUAGUUAGCCGGUGCUUAUUCUGCAGGUACCGUCAGUUGCACGGGGUAUUAUCCACGUGCCGUUUCUUUCCUGCCAAAAGUGCUUUGGCGAAGGCCUUCAUCCUUUUCAGGGAUUUCCCCAUUGUCAAAAUUCCCCGCCUUACACCUCAGCAGGCCGUGUCUCAGUCUGUGUGGCUGGUCGUCUCUCAAACUCAACUUACGAGAUCGUCGCCUUGAUGAGCCGUUAAUCGGCCCUCCAUCUCUAGUGCGGGGCCCGAAGGUCUUUCCCUAUGCCCGGCUGUUAGCUACGCUUUUUUCGCGUAGUUAUCUCCGCUACUAGGCACGUUCCGAUCACCCGUUCCCACUCUGGGUUCCGAGUCGUGCUGCCGUUCGACGAAAACAUCCCUGUCAAUCUGAGCCAGG